rnacentral:rRNA from 1 species
CACGUAGGGCGCGAGCGUUGUCCGGAAUUAUUGGGCGUAAAGAGCUCGUAGGCGGCUUGUUGCGUCAGCUGUGAAAACCCGCAGCUCAACUGUGGGCUUGCAGCUGAUACGGGCAGGCUUGAGUUCGGUAGGGGAGACUGGAAUUCCUGGUGUAGCGGUGAAAUGCGCAGAUAUCAGGAGGAACACCGGUGGCGAAGGCGACUCACUGGGUCUUUACUGACGCUGAUGCACGAAAGCUAGGGUAGCAAACGGG